CUGGAGGUAUCAGAAGUGCGAAUGCUGACAUAAGUAACGAUAAAGCGGGUGAAAAGCCCGCUCGCCGGAAGACCAAGGGUUCCUGUCCAACGUUAAUCGGGGCAGGGUGAGUCGACCCCUAAGGCGAGGCCGAAAGGCGUAGUCGAUGGGAAACGGGUUAAUAUUCCCGUACUUGGUGUUACUGCGAAGGGGGGACGGAGAAGGCUAUGUUGGCCGGGCGACGGUUGUCCCGGUUUAAGCGUGUAGGUGUGUGUUCCAGGUAAAUCCGGUUCACUUUAACACUGAGGCGUGAUGACGAGGCACUACGGUGCUGAAGCAACAAAUGCCCUGCUUCCAGGAAAAGCCUCUAAGCAUCAGGUAACAUCAAAUCGUACCCCAAACCGACACAGGUGGUCAGGUAGAGAAUACCAAGGCGCUUGAGAGAACUCGGGUGAAGGAACUAGGCAAAAUGGUGCCGUAACUUCGGGAGAAGGCACGCUGACACGUAGGUGAAGUGAUUUACUCAUGGAGCUGAAGUCAGUCGAAGAUACCAGCUGGCUGCAACUGUUUAUUAAAAACACAGCACUGUGCAAACACGAAAGUGGACGUAUACGGUGUGACGCCUGCCCGGUGCCGGAAGGUUAAUUGAUGGGGUCAGCGCAAGCGAAGCUCCUGAUCGAAGCCCCGGUAAACGGCGGCCGUAACUAUAACGGUCCUAAGGUAGCGAAAUUCCUUGUCGGGUAAGUUCCGACCUGCACGAAUGGCGUAAUGAUGGCCAGGCUGUCUCCACCCGAGACUCAGUGAAAUUGAACUCGCUGUGAAGAUGCAGUGUACCCGCGGCAAGACGGAAAGACCCCGUGAACCUUUACUAUAGCUUGACACUGAACAUUGAGCCUUGAUGUGUAGGAUAGGUGGGAGGCUUUGAAGUGUGGACGCCAGUCUGCAUGGAGCCGACCUUGAAAUACCACCCUUUAAUGUUUGAUGUUCUAACGUGGACCCGUUACCCGGGUUGCGGACAGUGUCUGGUGGGUAGUUUGACUGGGGCGGUCUCCUCCUAAAGAGUAACGGAGGAGCACGAAGGUUGGCUAAUCCUGGUCGGAC
rnacentral:rRNA from 1 species